CGGCCUCUUCCACCAGGUAUGGCUUCUCUGUGGCCCCUUUCCGGAGCAGGUAGACAUAGCAGUCUGUGAGCAGCACGUACAGCAGCUGCAGGUUGCCCUCCAUGUGCCCGGUGCUCAUCCGGAUCAUUUUGAACAGCUGCUCUUCGUUUUCUCGGAACACGUGGAUCAUGAGCAGGAGCAGGUGAUUGUUGUCUACUCUGAACUCCGAGG
rnacentral:lncRNA from 1 species